rnacentral:rRNA from 1 species
GUUAAAAAGCUCGUAGUUGGAUUUCUGCGGGGGCGGGGCGGCCGGUUGCUUAUAGCAACUCGAGCUAGCACUUCCCCUGCAUCCUGCCGCGAACCGUGCUACCAUUAGUUUGGUGGCGCCGGGGAUCGGCUCGUUUACUUUGAGAAAAAUAGAGUGUUCAAAGCAGGCCACACGCCUUGAAUAAGUUAGCAUGGAAUAAUGACUAAGGACUUUGGUUCUUUUCGUUGGUGUUCGGGACUGAAGUAAUGAUUGAUAGGGACAGUUGGGGCGGUCUGUAUUCCAAAGCGAGAGGUGAAAUUCUUAGACCUUCGGAAGACAAACAGCUGCGAAAGCGUUCCGCAAGGAUGUUCCCUUUGAUCAAGAACGAAAGUUGGGGGAUCGAAGACGAUCAGAUACCGUCGUAGUCUCAACUAUAAACUAUACCAGCUAGGGAUCGGCCAACGUUUAAUUAUUCGACUUGGUCGGCACCUUAUGA